rnacentral:rRNA from 1 species
AUUGAACGCUGGCGGCAUGCCUUACAUAUGCAAGUCGAACGGCAGCACGGGAGCAAUCCUGGUGGCGAGUGGCGAACGGGUGAGUAAUAUAUCGGAACGUGCCCAGUCGUGGGGGAUAACGCAGCGAAAGCUGUGCUAAUACCGCAUACGAUCUCUGGAUGAAAGCGGGGGACCGUAAGGCCUCGCGCGAUUGGAGCGGCCGAUAUCAGAUUAGCUAGUUGGUGGGGUAAAGGCCCACCAAGGCGACGAUCUGUAGCUGGUCUGAGAGGACGACCAGCAACACUGGAACUGAGACACGGUCCAGACUCCUACGGGAGGCAGCAGUGGGGAAUUUUGGACAAUGGGCGCAAGCCUGAUCCAGCAAUGCCGCGUGCAGGAUGAAGGCCUUCGGGUUGUAAACUGCUUUUGUACGGAACGAAACGGCGAGCUCUAAUAAAGUUUGCUAAUGACGGUACCGUAAGAAUAAGCACCGGCUAACUACGUGCCAGCAGCCGCCGUAA